CGUUUUUCUGUGAUUGGUAUGCAGAAGCUCACAGAAACUCAUCGAAGCAUUACUGUCCAGUUUGGAAAAAAUCGAAAAUGUCGAAAUAUAUUUCAUUGUUAGUUAUCUUCAUGUUUGUAAGCCUUUAUGCCUGUGCAGUCGAAGGAUGUGCCGGCAAAUGGUGUCAUCCGAUUCAAGGUUACCCUUGCUGUGACGGCUACAAAUGUGACAAUGGACAUUGGUGGCAAGGAAACUGCGCUGUAAAUACUGCGAGAAAGGUACCGGUGGGCUAGUCCUUGACAGUAGAAAAAAAAUUGUAUCGAUGGCAUGAAGAAAUAAAUGUUAUUGUACAAUAAUAAAAAUGAAAUAAAUUAACCCAUGAAAAAA